CCGGCACGGGUGAGUAACACGUAUGCAAUCCACCUGUAACAGGGGGAUAACCCGGAGAAAUCCGGACUAAUACCCCAUAAUAUGGGCGCUCCGCAUGGAGAGCCCAUUAAAGAGAGCAAUUUUGGUUACAGACGAGCAUGCGCUCCAUUAGCCAGUUGGCGGGGUAACGGCCCACCAAACCUUCGAUGGAUAGGGGUUCUGAGAGGAAGGUCCCCCACAUUGGAACUGAGACACGGUCCAA
rnacentral:rRNA from 1 species